rnacentral:rRNA from 1 species
UACGUAGGGUGCAAGCGUUGUCCGGAAUUAUUGGGCGUAAAGAGCUCGUAGGCGGUCUGUUGCGUCGGCUGUGAAAACCCGGGGCUCAACUCCGGGCCUGCAGCCGAUACGGGCAGACUAGAGUUCGGCAGGGGAGACUGGAAUUCCUGGUGUAGCGGUGAAAUGCGCAGAUAUCAGGAGGAACACCGGUGGCGAAGGCGGGUCUCUGGGCCGAUAUUGACGCUGAGGAGCGAAAGCGUGGGGAGCGAACAGG